UUGACCUCGGAUCAGGUAGGGAUACCCGCUGAACUUAAGCAUAUCAAUAAGCGGAGGAAAAGAAACCAACCGGGAUUGCCCUAGUAACGGCGAGUGAAGCGGCAAGAGCUCAAAUUUGAAAGCUGGCCCCCUCGGGGUCCGCAUUGUAAUUUGCAGAGGAUGCUUCGGGAACGGCCCCCAUCUAAGUGCCCUGGAACGGGCCGUCAUAGAGGGUGAGAAUCCCGUCUGGGAUGGGGUGGCCGCGCCCGUGUGAAGCUCCUUCGACGAGUCGAGUUGUUUGGGAAUGCAGCUCUAAUUGGGUGGUAAAUUUCAUCUAAAGCUAAAUAUUGGCCGGAGACCGAUAGCGCACAAGUAGAGUGAUCGAAAGAUGAAAAGCACUUUGAAAAGAGAGUUAAACAGCACGUGAAAUUGUUGAAAGGGAAGCGCUUGCGACCAGACUCGCCCGCGGGGUUCAGCCGGCACUCGUGCCGGUGUACUUCCCCGCGGGCGGGCCAGCGUCGGUUUGGGCGGCCGGUCAAAGGCCUCUGGAAGGUAACGCCUCUCGGGGCGUCUUAUAGCCAGGGGUGCCAUGCGGCCUGCCCGGACCGAGGAACGCGCUUCGGCUCGGACGCUGGCAUAAUGGUCGUAAGCGACC
rnacentral:rRNA from 1 species